rnacentral:rRNA from 1 species
UACGGAGGGUCCAAGCGUUAUCCGGAUUUAUUGGGUUUAAAGGGUGCGUAGGCGGCUUAUUAAGUCAGGGGUGAAAGACGGUGGCUCAACCAUCGCAGUGCCUUUGAUACUGAUGAGCUUGAAUACACUAGAGGUAGGCGGAAUGUGACAAGUAGCGGUGAAAUGCAUAGAUAUGUCACAGAACACCGAUUGCGAAGGCAGCUGACGAAACUGUAACUGACGCUGAGGCACGAAAGCGUGGGGAUCAAACAGG